UUGUCUUAGUUACCAUCAUUAAGUUGGGGACUCUAGAGAGACUGCCGGUGAUAAACCGGAGGAAGGUGGGAUGACGUCAAAUCAUCAUGCCCCUUAUGACCUGGGCUACACACGUACUACAAUGGCGCAUACAACGAGCUGCAAGAUGGUGACAUCAAGCGAAUCUCUUAAAAUGCGUCUCAGUUCGGAUUGGAGUCUGCAACUCGACUCCAUGAAGUCGGAAUCGCUAGCAAUCGCGGAUCAGCAUGCCGCGGUGAAUACGUUCUCGGGUUU
rnacentral:rRNA from 1 species